rnacentral:rRNA from 1 species
CGAACGCUGGCGGCGUGCUUAACACAUGCAAGUCGAACGGAAAGGCCCUGCCUGCAGGGUACUCGAGUGGCGCACGGGUGAGUAACACGUGGGUGAUCUGCCCUGCACUUCGGGAUAAGCCUGGGAAACUGGGUCUAAUACCGGAUAGGAGCCAUUUUUAGUGUGAUGGUUGGAAAGUUUUUUCGGUGUAGGAUGAGCUCGCGGCCUAUCAGCUUGUUGGUGGGGUAAUGGCCUACCAAGGCGGCGACGGGUAGCCGGCCUGAGAGGGUGGACGGCCACAUUGGGACUGAGAUACGGCCCAGACUCCUACGGGAGGCAGCAGUGGGGAAUAUUGCACAAUGGGCGCAAGCCUGAUGCAGCGACGCCGCGUGGGGGGUGACGGCCUUCGGGUUGUAAACUCCUUUCGCUAGGGACGAAGCUUUUUGUGACGGUACCUAGAUAAGAAGCACCGGCUAACUACGUG